rnacentral:rRNA from 1 species
CGGUUUUCCAUAACUCUGAGGUGCGAAGUGGUUCUGACCUUUUGGUACAGAGAAGUCAUUGAUGCCCGGCUUCCAGGAAAAGCUGCUAGCCAUAACUUAUAGAGAACCGUACCGCAAACCGACACAGGUGGACAGGUAGAGAAUACUAAGGCGCUUGAGAGAACUCGGGUGAAGGAACUAGGCAAAAUGGUACCGUAACUUCGGGAGAAGGUACGCCCUUUUGGGUGAGGGCAUUUACUGUCUGAGCUUAAGAGGGCCGCAGAGACCAGGUGGCUGCGACUGUUUAUUAAAAACACAGCACUCUGCAAAUUCGUAAGAAGACGUAUAGGGUGUGACGCCUGCCCGGUGCCGGAAGGUUAAUUGAUGGGGUUAUCUUCGGAGAAGCUCUUGAUCGAAGCCCCGGUAAACGGCGGCCGUAACUAUAACGGUCCUAAGGUAGCGAAAUUCCUUGUCGGGUAAGUUCCGACCUGCACGAAUGGCGUAACGAUGGCCACACUGUCUCCACCCGAGACUCAGUGAAAUUGAAAUCGCUGUGAAGAUGCAGUGUACCCGCGGCUAGACGGAAAGACCCCGUGAACCUUUACUAUAGUUUUGCACUGGACUUUGAUGAUGACUGUGUAGGAUAGGUGGGAGGCUGUGAAGUGAGGACGCUAGUUCUCAUGGAGCCGCCCUUGAAAUACCACCCUGUUGUUAUUGAGGUUCUAACUUGGUCCAGUAAUCCUGGAUGAGGACAGUGUAUGAUGGGUAGUUUGACUGGGGCGGUCUCCUCCCAAAGAGUAACGGAGGAGCACAAAGGUACCCUCGGUACGGUCGGACAUCGUACCAAGAGUGUAAAGGCAAAAGGGUGCUUGACUGCGAGAGUGACGGCUCGAGCAGGAACGAAAGUUGGUCUUAGUGAUCCGGUGGUUCUGAAUGGAAGGGCCAUCGCUCAACGGAUAAAAGGUACUCCGGGGAUAACAGGCUGAUACCGCCCAAGAGUUCAUAUCGACGGCGGUGUUUGGCACCUCGAUGUCGGCUCAUCACAUCCUGGGGCUGAAGCAGGUCCCAAGGGUAUGGCUGUUCGCCAUUUAAAGUGGUACGCGAGCUGGGUUUAGAACGUCGUGAGACAGUUCGGUCCCUAUCUGCCGUGGGCGUAGGAAAAUUGAGAGGAGCUGCUCCUAGUACGAGAGGACCGGAGUGGACGAACCUCUGGUGCACCGGUUGUCACGCCAGUGGCAUGGCCGGGUAGCUAAGUUCGGACGGGAUAACCGCUGAAAGCAUCUAAGCGGGAAGCCUCCCUCAAGAUGAGUUUUCCCAUGAAGCCCGUUGAAGACUACGACGUUGAUAGGCAAGGUGUGGAAGCGCAGUAAUGCGUGAAGCUAACUUGUACUAAUUGGCUGAUUGUCUUGACCAU